UACGAAGGGGGCUAGCGUUGCUCGGAAUUACUGGGCGUAAAGGGCGCGUAGGCGGACAGUUUAGUCGGGGGGUGAAAGCCCGGGGCUCAACCUCGGAAUUGCCUUCGAUACUGGCUGUCUUGAGUACGGGAGAGGUGUGUGGAACUCCGGAGUGUAGAGGUGAAAUUCGUAGAUAUUCGGAAGAACACCAGUGGCGAAGGCGACACACUGGCCCGUUACUGACGCUGAGGCGCGAAAGCGUGGGGAGCAAACAGG
rnacentral:rRNA from 1 species